AAAAUUCAAAAAUGAAAUGGAAUGACAAAAUGAAAAAAAAAUAGUUUAAAAAAUACAAAAAAUUGAAAAACAUAUAAGACCUAACAAUAUAAAAAGUCAGACAAAAAAUUAAAAAAGAGAAAAGUUAAUGCAAAAUAAAAAAAAGUAUGAGAAUUUAAAAACGCAAAUAAGAAACGAAAGGAAAUUUAUAGGAAAAAAAAGAAAAGCAAGAAAAGAAUAAAAAUGAAAAGACAAAAGAUUUGCAAUAAAAAAUAGAAAAAUAAA
rnacentral:lncRNA from 1 species